UACGGAGGGGGCUAGCGUUGUUCGGAAUUACUGGGCGUAAAGCGCGCGUAGGCGGCUUUGUAAGUUAGAGGUGAAAGCCCAGGGCUUAACCCUGGAAUUGCCUUUAAGACUGCAUCGCUAGAAUCGUGGAGAGGUGAGUGGAAUUCCGAGUGUAGAGGUGAAAUUCGUAGAUAUUCGCAAGAACACCAGUGGCGAAGGCGGCUCACUGGCCCGAUACUGACGCUGAGGCACGAAAGCGUGGGGAGCAAACAGG
rnacentral:rRNA from 1 species